rnacentral:rRNA from 1 species
GAUGAACGCUAGCGGCAGGCUUAACACAUGCAAGUCGAGGGGCAGCGCAGAUAGCAAUAUUGGGCGGCGACCGGCAAACGGGUGCGGAACACGUACAGAAUCUACCUUGAUCUGGGGCAUAGCCCGAAGAAAUUCGGAUUGACUCCCCAUAACAUAUAUGAGUGGCAUCACUCGAAUAUUAAAAAUUUAUUGGAUCGAGA